ACCUGAGUGGCUCAGUUGGUUGAGCAUCUGAUUUUGGCUCAGGGCGUGAUCUCAUGAACUCUUGGUUCAUGGGUUCAUCCCCUAUGUCAGGUU
rnacentral:tRNA from 1 species